rnacentral:rRNA from 1 species
CCUACGGGAGGCAGCAGUAGGGAAUCUUGCGCAAUGGGCGAAAGCCUGACGCAGCCAUGCCGCGUGAAUGAUGAAGGUCUUAGGAUUGUAAAAUUCUUUCACCGGGGACGAUAGUGACGGUACCCGGAGAAGAAGCCCCGGCUAACUUCGUGCCAGCAGCCGCGGUAAUACGAAGGGGGCUAGCGUUGCUCGGAAUUACUGGGCGUAAAGGGAGCGUAGGCGGAUAGUUUAGUCAGAGGUGAAAGCCCAGGGCUCAACCUUGGAACUGCCUUUGAUACUGGCUAUCUUGAGUACGGGAGAGGUGAGUGGAACUCCGAGUGUAGAGGUGAAAUUCGUAGAUAUUCGGAAGAACACCAGUGGCGAAGGCGACUCACUGGCCCGUUACUGACGCUGAGGCUCGAAAGCGUGGGGAGCAAACAGGAUUAGAUACCCUGGUAGUCCACGCUGUAAACGAUGAGUGCUAGUUGUCGGCAUGCAUGCAUGUCGGUGACGCAGCUAACGCAUUAAGCACUCCGCCUGGGGAGUACGGUCGCAGNUAAAACUCAAAUGAAUUGACGG